UUAACAUACAUGUUCAGUCAUGUACAGUGUCGAGCGUACGGACAGUGAAAGAACGCGAACUCUGGCAGUGGUAUGUGCUAAACAAUUGUUUGUUUCCAUUAAACAAAUAACUCCUUCUUCAGUCUUUUUUUAGGUACUAGAGAUGAAGAUCAGGAAGAAGAUAGAGGAAUUUUUCGUUUAGAUGAGGAGGAGGCUGAUGAAAAGUAGAGGAGGAUGCU